UACGUAGGGUCCAAGCAUUAUCCGGAUUGACUGGGUGUAAAGAGUUGCGUAGGUGGCAGGGUAGUAGAUAGUGAAAUCUGGUGGCUCAACCAUUCAGACUAUUAUCUAAACUGCUCAGCUCGAGGAUGUUAGGGGCAGCUGGAAUUUCUAGUGUAGGAGUGAAAUCCGUAGAUAUUAGAAAGAACACCGAUAGCGUAGGCAGGCUACUGGGACAUUUCUGACACUAAGGCACGAAAGCGUAGGGAGCAAA
rnacentral:rRNA from 1 species